UUCUUAGCCAUACUGUUAAACACUCAUUAUAAUACCGGAAUAAUUGACUUGUACCAACCUGUCCUGCUCUGUGAAGGCACAGUCCCCAGUUGGUAUCAUCAUGCAGCUGCCAUAGAAACACUUUUAGGUGUCUCAGGCUCAUCUUGAAUUCACCAGAGACAUUUGGCUCAUUAAUUCAAAUGUCAAGGAAAAUGCAUCGACUGCCAGGAGUCGGUCACUACCAGGCACCAAAAAUAAUGGGAGAGAGGUUUGGUUCUGAUCUAUAACGUUCCUUCACAAGUUCCAUUGGCAAGGAAAAAAAAAGGAGGAAUCACUAAAAAGCAAAGGUGAUGCGUGUCCUAUGUUGAUGAGCCACAUGUUACCUUGAUAAAGAAAGUUCUAAAAGUGAAUUUGCAGCACCCUCAAGACAGUAUUGUUGAGAGCCACCCUGUGAAAUUUUGUGAUGCUGGCAGCUGCUGCACCAGCCAGCCCAGCAAGAACCCUGAUUAUGAAGAAUAUGAGCUGGGGCAACCCAGAAAGAAGGGGCCUCUUCACCAGGCUGCCAAAAGUGGUGCUGUUGUGGCAAAUGCCAGCCAACACAGAAGUACCACGAACAGCUCUUGCUGAAGGAAAAAAGGGCAGCACAUCACAACCUCCUGCUGGUUUCAGCAGCUGGUGCUGUCUGGUCGCACCCUGAAGAAAGCCAAGAGUCGCCUCAAAGCACAACCCUAAGGAAGGAAGCCCAAAAGAGGAAUCACUUGGAAAUGUGGUGCUGAGCAUUUUUCUGCCCCACCCUCCCCAGCUUUCUGCAGCCCUGGAUCAAGAGGUUCUAGACAGAGGCCACAGAACAAGUUUCCUAACUCAUCACUGAAGGCCUCAUGGUCUGACCAGAUUAAACACACUCAUUUUAGAUGGUCCCAGUGACACAGACAAAGCAUCUUCUGAAAAGCCUAGCUCUUCUCUUUGUAUUGUUCUUUUUAGCUUGAACUCAGGAAUUACAUGAAAAGGACUUUUACCCUCUUUGUGUAAUAUUUUUGGGCAUUUCAUUCACACUCAUUGGAAUUGUAAUGUUGGACUGUUUGUUCUCACCUUCAAGCAGGCCUUGCUUCCUACACCUCCUCCUCCUGAACUUGUGAGAGUAGCUCUGUGCUAUGAUGUGUGAGGUCAGAGUACAGCCGAGGAGCAGCGAACUCAGGGUAGAUUAAUCUGUGCUCCAACACUUUUUCCAUUCUCUAUUUUUGUUAUAUUUAGGCGUGUUCUAUUUUUGUAGAACCAAGGUGAAAAGAAUUGUAACAGGUAUGUUCUGCACUCCUUUCAGCAAAGCUUUGUUCUCUCUGAGCUAACCCAGCAGUUUGCCAUUUCCAUUUCCCACAUGUAUUUGAAGAUAUAUUGCUGGCAGAUUAUGCCAGCUGUAUUUAUAUCUUCAUCAAUUGUGUUAACAUUCAUAUUGCAGCAUCUUACAUAUCUAGAGUGGGAAAAUAUUACCGUAGGCAUUAAUGCAUUUCUGUUCUAGCAUAUGAACCAAUUCUCCUUUUGAAAAUAAUUACACUGAAUAUUCACCCAAGACUGUGAUUUUGAUCUCUUCUCACAUUUGCAUCAAAGUUCUUCCUUACCCUUUCCCCGCUUUUUUUGGUCCUUUCGGUU